UUAAAAAGCACGUGAAAUUGUUGAAAGGGAAGCGCUUGCGACCAGACUCGCCUCCAGGGUUCAGCCGGCAUUCGUGCCGGUGUACUUCCCUGGGGGCGGGCCAGCGUCGGUUUGGGCGGCCGGUCAAAGGCUCCCGGAAUGUAGUGCCCUUCGGGGCACCUUAUAGCCGGGAGUGCAAUGCGGCCAGCCUGGACCGAGGAACGCGCUUCGGCACGGACGCUGGCAUAAUGGUCGCAAACGACCCGUCUUGAAACACGGACCAAG
rnacentral:rRNA from 1 species